rnacentral:rRNA from 1 species
GACGAACGCUGGCGGCGUGCUUAACACAUGCAAGUCGAACGGAAAGGCCCUGCUUUUGUGGGGUGCUCGAGUGGCGAACGGGUGAGUAACACGUGAGUAACCUGCCCUUGACUUUGGGAUAACUUCAGGAAACUGGGGCUAAUACCGGAUAGGAGCUCCUGCUGCAUGGUGGGGGUUGGAAAGUUUCGGCGGUUGGGGAUGGACUCGCGGCUUAUCAGCUUGUUGGUGGGGUAGUGGCUUACCAAGGCUUUGACGGGUAGCCGGCCUGAGAGGGUGACCGGCCACAUUGGGACGGAGAUACGGCCCAGACCCCUACGGGAGGCAGCAGGGGGGAAUAUUGCAAAAUGGGCGGAAGCCUGAUGCAGCAACGCCGCGGGCGGGAUGACGGCCUUCGGGUUGUAACCCGUUUUCGCCUGUGACGAAGCGUGAGGGGCGGUAAUGGGUAAAGAAGCACCGGCUAACUACGU